rnacentral:rRNA from 1 species
AUUUGGGGCAGUACUUUCUUAGAUUAAAAAUUAAAAGUAAAUUUUUUAGUGAAGAAGCUAAAAUUAUGUUAAGGGACGAGAAGACCCUAUUAAGCUUUAUAUAAUUAUUUUGUUGGGGAAAUAGAAGGAUAAAAUUCCUUUAUAAAAAUGGGUUGAUGAGUAUUGAUUUUUUAAUAAAAAAUAAUAGAACAAGUUACUAUAGGGAUAACAGCAUAAUUUUUUUUAAAAGUUCAUAUUGACAAAAAAGGUUAUGACCUCGAUGUUGGAUUAAAAUUAUUAUAUGAUGUAGUUGUUGUAUAAAUUAGUCUGUUCGACUAUUAAAUUUUUA